UGUCUUAUUGAAUAUAAUAUAAAGUCUAGCCUGCCCACUGAAAAUUUAAAUGGCCGCGGUAUUUUGACCGUGCUAAGGUAGCAUAAUCAUUAGUUUUUUAAUUGAAAGCUGGAAUGAAGGGUUGGAUGAAAAAAAAGCUGUCUCUAUUAAAUUAGGAUUGAAUUUUAUUUUUAAGUUCAAAAGCUUAAAUAUUUUUAAAAGACGAGAAGACCCUUUAGAGUUUAAUAAAUUUUAAUUAUUUUUUUAUUUAGUAUUUAAUUUAAAGGAUAUUAAAAUUUAUUUAAUUGGGGUGAUUGAAAAAUUUAAUAAACUUUUUUUAUUAAUUAAUAUUUAUUUAUAAGUGAUUGAUCCAAUAUUAUUGAUUAUAAGAUAAAAUUACCUUAGGGAUAACAGCGUAAUUUUAUUAGAGAGUUCUUAUCGAUAAUAAAGAUUGCGACCUCGAUGUUGGAUUAAAA
rnacentral:rRNA from 1 species